rnacentral:rRNA from 1 species
UACUCGAGUGGCGAACGGGUGAGUAACACGUGGGUGAUCUGCCCUGCACUUCGGGAUGAGCUUGGGAAACUGGGUCUAAUACCGGACAGGAGCCAUCUUUAGUGUGGUGGUUGGAAAGUUUUUUCGGUGUAGGAUGAGCUCGCGGCCUAUCAGCUUGUUGGUGGGGUAAUGGCCUACCAAGGCGGCGACGGGUAGCCGGCCUGAGAGGGUGUACGGCCACAUUGGGACUGAGAUACGGCCCAG